rnacentral:rRNA from 1 species
UACGUAGGGGGCGAGCGUUGUCCGAAGUUACUGGGCGUAAAGCGCGCGUAGGCGGUCUCUUAAGUCCGGGGUGAAAGGUUCAGCGCUCAACGCGAACAGUGCCCUGGAGACUGGGGGACUUGAGUGUGGGAGGGGGCAGUGGAAUUCCGGGUGUAGCGGUGAAAUGCGUAGAUAUCCGGAGGAACACCGAUGGCGAAGGCAGCUGCCUGGCCUGACACUGACGCUGAGGUGACGAAAGCGUGGGGAGCGAACGGG